CAGCAGCCGCGGGAAUACAGAGGGUGCGAGCGUUAAUCGGAUUUACUGGGCGUAAAGCGUGCGUAGGCGGCUUCUUAAGUCGGAUGUGAAAUCCCUGAGCUUAACUUAGGAAUUGCAUUCGAUACUGGGAAGCUAGAGUAUGGGAGAGGAUGGUAGAAUUCCAGGUGUAGCAGUGAAAUGCGUAGAGAUCGGAAGGAACAUCUGUGGCGAAGGCGACUAUCUGAGCCAUUACUGACGCUGAGGUGCGAAAGCGUGGGGAGCAAACAGGAUUAGAUACCCCUGUAGUCCCUGUCUCUUAUAC
rnacentral:rRNA from 1 species